GGAGGUGUGUUACAAGCAGGGGGACAAACAUCCCCAUCAAAAGGAGGUGGAUUUGUAGACGGAAUACGGAACAACUGAGCUGGUCGCGAAAUUUGGGCUGCAGCUGGUCUACCAGCAGAAGGCGCCGAACUAGCUAAAACCGAUUGUGUGGUAAAAGCUGUUACUUCAGUUGGCUCGACAUGAGUCGUAGCUAGUCUACAUGGACACGGAAGCAAAACUUGAUUGUCGCCUUGGCUUGAUGAUUCGU